rnacentral:rRNA from 1 species
GAUGAACGCUGACGGCGUGCCUAAUACAUGCAAGUCGAGCGAACGGACGAGAAGCUUGCUUCUCUGAUGUUAGCGGCGGACGGGUGAGUAACACGUGGAUAACCUACCUAUAAGACUGGGAUAACUUCGGGAAACCGGAGCUAAUACCGGAUAAUAUUUUGAACCGCAUGGUUCAAAAGUGAAAGACGGUCUUGCUGUCACUUAUAGAUGGAUCCGCGCUGCAUUAGCUAGUUGGUAAGGUAACGGCUUACCAAGGCAACGAUGCAUAGCCGACCUGAGAGGGUGAUCGGCCACACUGGAACUGAGACACGGUCCAGACUCCUACGGGAGGCAGCAGUAGGGAAUCUUCCGCAAUGGGCGAAAGCCUGACGGAGCAACGCCGCGUGAGUGAUGAAGGUCUGCGGAUCGUAAAACUCUGUUAUUAGGGAAGAACAUAUGUGUAAGUAACUGUGCACAUCUGGACGGUACCUAAUCAGAAAGCCACGGCGAACUACGU